GGAAGUAAAAGUCGAAACAAGGUUUCCGUAGGUGAACCUGCGGAAGGAUCAUUAUUGUAUAACCGAGGUGCGAGGGCUGUCGCUGACCCGAAAGGUCGUGCACGCCCGAGUGCCCUCACACGCAUCCAUCUCACCCCUAUGUGCACCACCGCGUGGGUCCCCCUUUGGCUUGUUCGGAGGGGGGCUUACGUUUUCACACAAACUUCGUAUGCAGUGUAGAAUGUAUUUUUUGUUUUUGCGAUCACGCAAUCAAUACAACUUUCAACAACGGAUCUCUUGGCUCUC
rnacentral:misc_RNA from 1 species